UGUAAGGUUUGUUUCGGUCUGUCAUGGUUAGGACUCCUGUAUGGUUUUCAUGUCCUCAGUCUCAAUUUUGCUCCGUGUUGCCCCCUUGCUGUUUUCUGCUUUUUCUUUUGUACUUUCUAGUUUUGCUCCUUGUGUUUCACCAUUUGGAUUACCUGAGUUGGAUUUUGCUUUCGUUUCACCUCUUGGAUUAUACUUAAUUAAAGACGAGGACUGGGCUCUUCUGGUCGGCGGCGGCCUCUUCCUCAUCUUCCUCCUCCUCGGCAGAGUGCACAGACUGCUCACUGGAACCUGCAGCACUUCCCUGAGCCCUGUCAACAGCAUCUCACUGGAGGCCAGUUAGUGACAAUGCACCCCUGUUUUGCUCUAUGUUUCUCCAGUAAGGCCAGUGUCCUGGUGCAGCGGUACUCCAGUCCUGAUGAACCGUAAUCCCAACAUGCUUGGAUGUCCUCGCCGGGGCCCUCAGAGGGGCCGUCCGACUGCCCACAGGCCAACUCCUCUCCACCACUUGCUCCCAAACAGCCUUUUAAUAGGUUUUAAAAGAGGGUUAUUAACAUCACCUGCUAAUUAUGUUAAGGACCUAAUUAGGGAAUGAGGAAAAAAGGGCUUUUUGUCUAAUUAGGUUUUCUUUCUAAGUACACUGAUAACCAAGGGAAUGCUGAGAUCUCUGUAGAAAUGAGAGUGCAAUGAGCCAGUGAGAGGAUGCUUCAGAAAAAGAGUUAACCCUUUCAACAGAGCCCAACUCUAUUAACAAGCCACUGGCAGAGUGCAAUUACCCCCCAAAUCGUUUAUUUGGGACAUGUUUAUCUGGAGUGGGAGUCUGCAUCAUUUAGCGCAUUAUAAACUCAAUAGAAGCUUCAUUAGCGAUUACAGUCGGUGGGUGGUAUUACCUGCCUGAUAUCUGACUGCAGCCUGAUGAUAUCAGCUGCUGCCGCCGAAUUACAAGGCAGGGACCUAAUUUUUCAGCCUAUGCUGGUCUGUCCUUGCUGUUUCCUCCACUCAAGUGCUACCCAGCCGGUGCACUGCCAACAGCACUUCGCUGGGCCUUCAGCUGCAACAUGGCAAUGGGAAGAGACAACAUACAAUGACUUAAUCACAGAGCAGGAACAAGAGAUGCUAGAGCAGAAAGAGGGGUGUGUGUUAAAAGAGGAAUUAUGUGAUUCAAGCCUGGAAAGUGUGUGACGCGGCUCCAGUGUCUUACUAUUCAGAUAAGUGGCAGAGGUUUGACAUUGAAGUUGCACAGCAGUGAAGUUGUUUGGAAGCAGUGGAGGCAGAUACAUUAAAGUGAGGCACGUUCUGUUUCUCCAACAUUAAAAAAAAUAUAUAUUACUCAUAACUACUCUUAUUUCAUUUUUAUUGCAUUCUUGAAAUACAAAAAAAAAAUUGUCAACUGA